UCUCUCCUCUCUCUCUCUCUCUCUCUCUCUCUCUCUCGGCGACUCAAGAAACCCAUGCCAGAUCUAUCACCAGAUCCGUUUCAUGAGCAGAUCAUUGAUGAUUCCACCGCCUAUUCCCCUCCGCCUUGUUACGUUGCUUCAAUCGCGGCUUCUCCUUCAUUCCAGGCAAUCUAGGGUUUUGUAAGUGGAGAUUCUGGCGAUAUAGGGCUUAAACAAGCUAGGGUUUUGAUGUCGAAGGCACCAAGGGAUCCACAGAUUUGAACAAGGGAUCCACAGAUUUGCUGGAGAAUGGCCGGAAUCAGGUGACUGUCUGUCCAUGAAUCUCUCUGGAAUCAUGUUUCAGAUGAAGGAGUCUUUGCAAGGAGAGGGUAUAAUAUCGAGUCACUUGCUGUUGGUCAAAGUUGUAUCACAACAGAG